CUUCUUUUAGAUCUGAUCAGUUGGGUGCACCUACAACUUCCACUACUACUGCCUCAACUCUACCAUCAAUCCAAACAAACCAAGCAAAUGUUCACUAUGGGAAAAUGAGGAAAUCAAGAAUGCCUUUUCUCUUGAGUAGCCAUUACAACAAGAAGAAAAAAGAUGGCUGUAACACUAGUGUUGUUGCUACUAUGAAGAGAAGCAAGUCUACAACCACUCCUAGAAAUGGUAUGCAUUUCUUGAAUGAAGAAG
rnacentral:misc_RNA from 1 species